rnacentral:rRNA from 3 species
UAGGGAAUCUUCGGCAAUGGGGGGAACCCUGACCGAGCAACGCCGCGUGAGUGAAGAAGGUUUUCGGAUCGUAAAGCUCUGUUGUUAAGGAAGAACGAGUGUGAGAAUGGAAAGUUCAUGCUGUGACGGUACUUAACCAGAAAGGGACGGCUAACUACGUGCCAGCAGCCGCGGUAAUACGUAGGUCCCGAGCGUUGUCCGGAUUUAUUGGGCGUAAAGCGAGCGCAGGCGGUUAGAAAAGUCUGAAGUGAAAGGCAGUGGCUCAACCAUUGUAGGCUUUGGAAACUGUUUAACUUGAGUGCAGAAGGGGAGAGUGGAAUUCCAUGUGUAGCGGUGAAAUGCGUAGAUAUAUGGAGGAACACCGGUGGCGAAAGCGGCUCUCUGGUCUGUAACUGACGCUGAGGCUCGAAAGCGUGGGGAGCGAACAGG